GGUCUGUCUGACCAUUUAUUUGCAUAUGCUGGGUGAGUAACGCGCACUGCAGGGUAUGUGCCUAAGGCAACGCUUCCCUCUCCAUUCUUCUGAGGUGCGCCUUGCCUACAGGCAUCGCAUGCACAGUGGGAGAAUGAUUUAUACAUUCACUGAGAGAAAGAGAGAGCAAAAUGGAAGCCAUGGCAUAAAGCUACAAUGCACUUGAGAUGCUAGUGGUUUCACAGGACUAGCUGUCCUCCUAUGCUCCUCUCCUUUUGUGCCUGAAAUCUCCCAAGUGCAGGUUGUUUGGGCUACACCUAAUGGCCUAUCUCAGACUGUAAGUUGAAGGCAGCUGUGGGUGGGUCUGGUCUUGCAUGCAGAGUGAUUCAUCCUCCUGUUUCCCUUUAUCCUUUCAGCAGACUUCAGAGCUUGGAGUUGAGGGGAAGGAUAAGGAAGAAGGGGAGAAAGUAGGAGUAGGACUGGGGUAAUACUGCUCAGCCCAGUCUGUUUUCAUUGUGAAUUAACAGCACUGCACCUGAAAAAUGUGUUAUUGUAAUUUGGAAGGUCUCAAAGCCUAGUAGGCUCAGACUUGAAAUUGUAUACCUGUGUUAAAGGCUGAAGAAGCCAGAGGUUGAGGUGUGACUUUUGCAGAUCAGGUUCUUCUUUAAUGGCUGACUAGUGGUAUUGUGACUAACUAAAAUAGGAAGGAAAUGUUGUGUUAUCAAAUGCUACUGUUGGCAGCGUUUUGGAAUUGGACUUCUUGGGAGCAUCCUUUUUAUUUGAUGGACGCAGCCUCUUGAAUUAAACAUGGGGUCCUGCUUGUUUCCUGAUGCGUCUUUGCACAGCUUCAUCUCUAAGCAUGCCUGGCUCCCAUGCUCUGCAGAGGAUGCUCCACUUCGCCUGCAGCGAUGCUUCCAGGAGGAGGUCAGCAGCUGAGGAAUGGGCCUUAUUUUCCUUCCCAAAUCCUACAGGGAAGAAGCGACCGCAUGCUAUUCAUUAUUUUGAGAUUAUUUAAGAAACCAUUGCUAUUGAACUAGCAGGAGAUCUUCUCAUCUGUGACCUACGCUAGAUCCGUCUGAUUGUUGUGCCCCAGCUGCAGGCCAUAAUUUUCAUGGGAAAGUUUUAAGAGCACCUGAAGAGUGCUCUUUGCUAGCUCCUCUUUGCUAGCCCUCACCAGUUUGUAUGGACAUCUCCUGGCCUCUCCAACUGCAGCGUGGAGGGGGUUGUUUGAUUUCUUCUUAAACAUUGUCCUGCCUUCCUCCUACUUUUUGAUGAAGCCGUACAUACAUGGAAAUGCACUGUGUGUUGAGCAGGGCAUGUGAACAGAGGAGCCACUUUGAGCUACUUUUGAGGGAUUCCACUUGACUGAUAACAGAACCACGGGAUAGACCUCAGGGAGGUGAGUCGUAUGUUAAUUUCUUCUUGAAGUUGCCUUGGCAUGUUAAAAGCUGUGAUAUUUCAGAAAAAUCCUGUUUCUUUUUUUUUCUUU
rnacentral:lncRNA from 1 species